AUUGAACGCUGGCGGAAUGCUUUACACAUGCAAGUCGAACGGCAGCACGGACUUCGGUCUGGUGGCGAGUGGCGAACGGGUGAGUAAUACAUCGGAACGUGCCCAAUCGUGGGGGAUAACGUAACGAAAGCUACGCUAAUACCGCAUACGAUCUAAGGAUGAAAGCGGGGGAUCGCAAGACCUCGCGCGAUUGGAGCGGCCGAUGGCAGAUUAGGUAGUUGGUAGGGUAAAGGCCUACCAAGCCGACGAUCUGUAGCUGGUCUGAGAGGAUGAUCAGCCACACUGGGACUGAGACACGGCCCAGACUCCUACGGGAGGCAGCAGUGGGGAAUUUUGGACAAUGGACGCAAGUCUGAUCCAGCCAUUCCGCGUGCAGGAUGAAGGCCCUCGGGUUGUAAACUGCUUUUGUACAGAACGAAAAGGCUCUGGUUAAUACCUAGGGCUCAUGACGGUACUGUAAGAAUAAGCACCGGCUAACUACGUGCCAGCAGCCGCGGUAA
rnacentral:rRNA from 1 species